AUGCUUAACACAUGCAAGUCGAGGGGCAUCAGGAAGAAAGCUUGCUUUCUUUGCUGGCGACCGGCGCACGGGUGAGUAACACGUAUCCAACCUGCCCUUUACUCGGGGAUAGCCUUUCGAAAGAAAGAUUAAUACCCGAUGGCAUAAUGAUUCCGCAUGGUUUCAUUAUUAAAGGAUUCCGGUAAAGGAUGGGGAUGCGUUCCAUUAGGUUGUUGGUGAGGUAACGGCUCACCAAGCCUUCGAUGGAUAGGGGUUCUGAGAGGAAGGUCCCCCACAUUGGAACUGAGACACGGUCCAAACUCCUACGGGAGGCAGCAGUGAGGAAUAUUGGUCAAUGGGCGCUAGCCUGAACCAGCCAAGUAGCGUGAAGGAUGAAGGCUCUAUGGGUCGUAAACUUCUUUUAUAUAAGAAUAAAGUGCAGUAUGUAUACUGUUUUGUAUGUAUUAUAUGAAUAAGGAUCGGCUAACUCCGUGCCAGCAGCCGCGGUAAUACGGAGGAUCCGAGCGUUAUCCGGAUUUAUUGGGUUUAAAGGGAGCGUAGGUGGACUGGUAAGUCAGUUGUGAAAGUUUGCGGCUCAACCGUAAAAUUGCAGUUGAUACUGUCAGUCUUGAGUACAGUAGAGGUGGGCGGAAUUCGUGGUGUAGCGGUGAAAUGCUUAGAUAUCACGAAGAACUCCGAUUGCGAAGGCAGCUCACUGGACUGCAACUGACACUGAUGCUCGAAAGUGUGGGUAUCAAACAGGAUUAGAUACCCUGGUAGUCCACACAGUAAACGAUGAAUACUCGCUGUUUGCGAUAUACAGUAAGCGGCCAAGCGAAAGCAUUAAGUAUUCCACCUGGGGAGUACGCCGGCAACGGUGAAACUCAAAGGAAUUGACGGGGGCCCGCACAAGCGGAGGAACAUGUGGUUUAAUUCGAUGAUACGCGAGGAACCUUACCCGGGCUUAAAUUGCAGUGGAAUGAUGUGGAAACAUGUCAGUGAGCAAUCACCGCUGUGAAGGUGCUGCAUGGUUGUCGUCAGCUCGUGCCGUGAGGUGUCGGCUUAAGUGCCAUAACGAGCGCAACCCUUAUCUUCAGUUACUAACAGGUCAUGCUGAGGACUCUGGAGAGACUGCCGUCGUAAGAUGUGAGGAAGGUGGGGAUGACGUCAAAUCAGCACGGCCCUUACGUCCGGGGCUACACACGUGUUACAAUGGGGGGUACAGAAGGCAGCUAGCGGGUGACCGUAUGCUAAUCCCAAAAUCCUCUCUCAGUUCGGAUCGAAGUCUGCAACCCGACUUCGUGAAGCUGGAUUCGCUAGUAAUCGCGCAUCAGCCACGGCGCGGUGAAUACGUUCCCGGGCCUUAUACACACCGCCCGUCAAGCCAUGGGAGCCGGGGGUACCUGAAGUACGUAAAAGCAAGGAUCGUCCUAGGGUAAAACUGGUGACUGGGGC
rnacentral:rRNA from 1 species